AUGACAGCACUAUGUCUCAGCUGGGAGGGGGCCCCACUUUGGGCAGUAGGGACUGGCGGCGGGGCCAUGGGGCUGUGCAGCCGCUCAGUCAGCUCGGUGACAGGCAUGGCAUGGACCCCAGCACGGCUGGGGGGAGCCCUUUGGCCUCUACACCCCCACCUCCAGGGGGACUGGCUACUCCGAGAGGGCACCCUGCGGAGGAGGGUCCGCGGCCACCUCUACCCAUGCCCAUGGCAAUGGUUACCAGGAGACGGGCAGCGGUCACCAUAGAGACGGGAUGCUGUACCUGGGCUCCCUAGUCUCGCUGGCGGAUGCUCUACCUCUGCACAUCGCACCCAGGUGGUGCAGCUCGCACAGUGGUUUCAAGUGCCCCAUUUGGUCCAAGUCUGUGGCUUCUGAUGAGAUGGAAAUGCACUUUAUAACGUGUCUGAGCAAACCUCGCCUCUCCUACAACGAUGACGGACGACGCGCUGACUAAAGACGCGGGCGAGCGUGUGAUCUGCCUGGAGGAGCUGCUUCAGGGGGACACGGUAGCCAGGCCGCCCUGCCUGUGCAUCUAUCACAGAAGCUGCAUGGUUUGAAGUGAACGGAUCUUGUCCGCAACACCCUGCGGACGGACCCUGCUGGGCUUGCUUGCAGAUUUUUCUCAUAGGGACAGACAGCCCCUUGUCCCCCGAGAGGAGGCUCAUCGGACACUGGGGCAGAGCUGAGCUGGGGACACCCGUGGGAACAGGGCACCCCUUCUGCACUGACUUCAGAAAAUGGUUCUCCCUUCCUCCCUGAGGACACCAAAUUGGAUGAGAGCGAGUUUGAGAGAAGAAGGAAUAAACUGCCAUCCUUCCCCUCACCCUUCAGCCCAGGAGGAAAAGGGCAUUUUCUUUUUUACCUUUGAAAGGCAUUGUGGGUCUGUCUUUAAAGUGUUUACAAAAAAAAGUAAGUUAUGCAGAAAAUUCCUUUAUGACCUUUCCAGUCUAUCUCUGUUCAACCUCCACCCCCCCAAAAGUAACCAUACAAUGUUCCAACUUUUUCCCCACCAUAGAUGUGUUCUAUAUCUUCUCGAAUUUCAUAUAAAUAGAACCAUAUAGUAUGUAUGUACCCUUUUGUAUGAGUAUUUUUGUACGCAGAAUUUUUAUUUUAAGAUAGAUUCAAGUCCUUAUAUGAUUUAGUUGAUUGAUGCAUAUUAUUGCUGAGUAGUAUUCUAUUAUAUUAAUAUAUA